UUUGAAUACUUUCGGGCUUCCCUUAGCUUUUAGGUGGAUUCAGUCUCUCCCUCCUAAAAAAGAGAAAUAGUCAAGUGAAAGGAGCCCACUUCGGAGUCGCUCACAGGAGAAGCACUGACCUUUUCUCUUUUCCCUAUCGACUUCGAUAAGACUAAUAAGUCAGGGCGAGAUCUUACUUAGAGAGAGUUAGUUGGGUAGGGUCAAUAGCUCUAAGAUCACAUCGGAUUCUAACCCUAAGGUGACUUUACUCCCUUUAGAGACGAUUAAAGACUAACAAAGGCAGGGCAGGAGAGAGGGAAACAAAGCAAGAAGUCAUCGUCGCAUCAUAGCGGGUUAAGAACUUAGGCUUAGUGAAUCCCCACUCAAAUUUCAUAUGUAAUGUAAGGAAAUCCUCUCUGUUGAAAGUGGAUCUUUCUAAAUGAAUUUCUGAAGCAAAGACUAGAAAACGAAAGAGAGAGAAGACAGUCAGUCCAGCUAGCAACUGAAUUUCAUGCUUCAAGCUUAAUGCGUUCAUUCUCUCUAGGGUCAUUGAACUAGUUGAAUGGAAUUCCUUCCCACGCGUACAAUAUGCCAAAGCUUAAAGUCGUUUGAUCCCUUUACCAAUCGUAGAAGACGACUUAUUCUAUCUCUUUGCUAUCUCCAUUGGUUGAACAGGGGGUAUCAAAAGAUCUCUACUUACCUUAGACUUAGAUAGAGGAGCUACAUGACUUUCAUUAGAUCCUACCACAGCAUAUCUGAAUUCAUUAUAGGGUUAAGAGUGACUUGCUUAGACUGCUGAAUAACCUUCACUUUAGCGAGCUGUAGGACAAACUAUAUUCAAGAGGAGAAAGAAAACUUGGAAUAGAAGGAUCAGUACCUGUAGCAGUCCUGGAGUUAGGUUAUGAUGGUCGUGAUGAGCUCUACUAGAAAUAAAGUCUCUUCUAUUCAUAGAUGAAGUCCUAUCUAAGGGCCUUCGUUGCCCUUGAAUUCCGUUCCCUAGUUCAAUCCAGAAUUCCAGAUGUGUAAGUAGCGGCCAAGCGGCUCUGUCCUUUUCAAAGAGGUUAUCCUUCUCUCUCCCCGCUUCUUAGUCUUAUAGGAUAGCUCACCAUUCAAGUAAGUCACUUUACCCGGCGCUUACUGUCUUCUUUCUAGCCUAAUUGGUAGCAGUCCCUUUUUAGUACCCCGUUUCCAACCAGUCAAGUGGCUUUCACUCCUUGACAGUCAGUCUAUUACCCAGCCCUGAUCCCAUGCUUUCCGUUGGUCAACAACUAACUAAAGUGCUCUAUACUUCUUCACUACUCGUACAGGCUUGACGGAGUUAAGCUGUAUUGAGGGAAUCGUUUUGUCUUAAUCAAUCAAGAAUGCCUCAACUAGAUAAAUUCAUUUAUUUCACACAAUUCUUCUGGUCAUGCCUUUUCUAUGUUAUUAUUGUUCUUCUUAUGUUUAUCAAUAUAGAUGAACGACUUUACUUUCUUUAUGUAAAGAAUUCGGCCUUUCAACGGGUCAUUUUAUACUUGAAAUUGUUUGUGAGUUUCUUUAUAAUAAUGCGCGCGGGUUUUCUCCUAUGGCACAACUUAAAUCAUAUCCUUCUUUCUCCUUGUGGGAUUCUUCCCUCGGAACUAAACCUUCUGGAGUUCUAUCUGAAACAGUCGAACCCAGAAUGGGUGGAAUAUGUACAUCAAGUGCUAAAAAUGACCCCGAUACAUUCAGCCACAUAUGAAGUAAUGGUCCGAGACUUCCUAAACACGGAGAUGUGUUUUGUAACUCGCAACCAGAUUUUCUCUCUCUAUCAACUCAUUUUUAUGGUCGAGAGGAUCCCCAAUUAUUCAUUGAUCCACAAGACCUAGAUUCCAUACUAAAAGUACACCUUGAACCCCUUGAAUUCAAUCACUCGGCUCUAUGCCAGGUCUUGGAAAGUUUGUCUUUCGAAAGAGAGACAUCCCCAUUCUAUUAUGAGGUAAAAAAGACCCAGGCAAAGCAUUUCCAGGGCUUUUUAAAACAAAAGCACCAAGCCUAAUUGGAAAUGCAACAUCGUUGAGAAUUAAAAGAGUUAGGGGAAUCCCUGUCGAGAAGGAGUGCUUUUCUAAGCAAAGAAAACGCCUCUCUAAGAGAAAAACUUUUUAUUCUCGACAGGGAAGCCCCAUAACAUUAUUUAUGCAUUCUUUUAAGUUCUGAUUCAUAGUGAUUUAGUUCUGAUUCGUAGUGAUUUAGUUUUGAUACAUAAUCAAUCCUAUCAAAUAUUUCAAUUUUUCCUUUGAAUUACUCAUAUAUAUCCUAUGAAUUUCAUUUCUCACCGAAAACUAUUCUAGGAGAAGUUCGAAUCCGUUCCAUUCGGAUAUUGAUUGGUCUUGGUUUGGCAUGGUUUACGCGUUACUGGUUCUCGGAAGAGUUAAUAUUUCCAUUAGCUAAACCCUUUCUUACCCUGCCUUUGGAUUCGUAUUUUGUUCGUACACAAUCAACAGAGGCCUUCCCGACAUAUGUUGCAACUUGUCCAAUAGCAUGCUCUUACUUCGUCUUUCCCUUAAUAAGUCAUCAAAUUUGGUGCAUUUUGAUCCCCAGUUGCUAUGAGGAACAAAGGACGAAAUACAGUCGAUUCCUCUAUUUAAGUGGUUCUCGCUUCUCCUUGUUCCUGUUCCUAACUCCUCCCCGGGUAGUUCCCAAUGUUUGGCACUUUCCAUACUUCAUGGGUGCAACACCAACAAAUUCGCUCAUGAUCAAGUUACAAGACAAGAUCUAUGACCAUAUUAUGUUAACUAUUCGUAUUUCGUUCAUUCCAUCGGUAUGCUCCCAGGUACCUGUAAUUGUGAUCCGUUUGCCAGAACUAAGGGAUCUUUCUGUAGAAACCUCCAUGAACUCUCGUCGUUUUUUGAUGGUUUUUCCGCUUCUCACAGCUGCUCUUUCCACACCUCUGGAUAUCUGGUGCCAAAUUGUCGCCCCUUUCCUUAUUUCUUUGAUAAUAGAGUUGGCUAUAUUUAUGGCAUCGAUUGUACAAGUUCGUGAAGAGGGCUGGACGAGUGGAAUGAGGGAAAGCGGCUCGAUCGACAAAAAAGAAGCAAUUUUUUGCACAGCUUGCUCAUAGUGCAGGUCCCACUUAUAUAUCGUAUUUGGCCGAAGAAGCAUCGGACAGGUUAGAGUUCUUACCUUCUUGGGACUCCAUAGACCAAGAUCUGCUUUUAUUAUAUGGUCAAUACCGAUCUACUUUAGUAGAUCAUAUAGAUGUAGAAAAAGCAGCUAAUUUGGAUGAAAUAGAAACAUCUCUUUUCCAUUUCUAUUUACCCAGUUCAUAUCUUUGUUUCGUGUGUUCCUGGGAGGAAUUCAAUCUCGAAAUACCACCUAAAUAACUACGGCCAGAGAGUCAAAUAGGUCGGGAAGAAAGAGUCUGAGGUCGGGUCGGACGACAUACAUCUUGGUUGGUUCCACCACCACUAGAGAUUGGACAUAUAUAUAAUCUUUCUUCUAAAAAAGGGAUUCUUAUAUAUAUAUUUUGAAAAUAGCUGCAAGACCAAAACCGAAAGCCCUUCUUUUAUUGUUGUUCCUCCCAGAUACAUGGCUUACAUACCCGGCUCAACAUUCUUGGAAAAUAAUCGAAUCGAGGGUUCGGAGGAGAAUUGGCCAUUCAAUCUAGUGAACUAAUUGAGACCGAAACUGGAAAAAGAGAUACGAAUGGAGAGGAAUAACCAAUCAAUGAAAGAACGUGAAACCAUUCUGUUUCAAUAGAGGUACGAGAAACGGUUGGAGGCAAUGAAGUAGGUGAAGUGGUUGGAUUUUGCGAGCUGUUCCAACCACUGUUGGAUGUGAUUCCAAGAGCCGAACGAGAAUGAAUACCACAUAGAAGAGUCAAGACCAGGCUACCUAAUGAAAUGUUUAACCGAUCCAUUCCGGAUCGACCAAAUUGGUACGGAAGUUGUAACAUGGGAAAACCACAAAAAACACGACUUAUUUGAAUAACCCGGUGACCUACCAAUUGUAAAAGUAGGAUUUUUGGCAAGCAAUAAGCACUUAAAUAAUACAAGUCAAGUGUACCAUCUUCUUUCUCAUUUCGAGGAAAAGGUGCGGAAGGAAAAGGAAACAACGGAGGGAUCCGAAUCGGACCUAAAUGGGAAUGACAUGAAAAGUCUUUUUCAAAACCUAGCAUUAAGGGCGUUACGACGAUAUACGAGAGGAAUAGAGAAAAACUCGUGAUUGGUGUGGAGGGGAAGAUCUGUUUAUGAUAUAGUUCAAGAAAGAGUCAUCUCAUUUCCUUACUUCUUAACAUCAUCUUCAGCCAACCUCCACCGUACUUUCGGUGUGACCACUAAAGAAUUUCUUAUACACUAAAGAGCUGCUUAUAUACAUUUACUAAAAGACUGACUUUCAUUCAUUAUCAUUAGUCCAACGUGAAACUAAGAAAGAAAGAUGUGCCUAAGGUGGCAUGUAAGCAAACUGUGCACGCUAAGAGAAGAGGAGAGAUGUUCGCAAUUACUACCACAAGAAAGCCGCCCCUAUCUUCUAAAGGGGCCCCUCACUUCGUUCGUACCUUCUUGGCUUAGGCUUCCAACUGAACAACAUGGCCUUACCGCCCCACCACUAGCAGAAGCUAAGAACUUGAAAAGCACGCUAAGAAAGGUUCCUUUUAUCGCCCUUUCUGUGCAACAGUCCACCAGUAGCGGAAGAGAGGGUUACUGUACAUACAAGAGUCUUCCAGUUCUUACGAAAGCUCUUUCUUACCAGUCAAUCAAGUAGUACAAGAACUAUAUCUUAUCUUAUAGCCCGGCGCGGCGGGUCGCCUUUGAAAUAUUUGUUGUAGAUAAAAGAAAGUAUUAAAUAGAUAAGGAGUAGAUGAGUGAGUGAGUCCUCACCUGAGCGAUUUCGAUCACCUAGUAGGCCUUUUAUUUGGUAGGUAACAUCGCCAAAGCAUAUCAUCAGAUUUGGCUACGAAGGAAGGAACUCAAAGUGAAAGGGCACCGUCUUGUGCAAGGCAACGAUAGUUGGCCCUCUAUUAUCUUCUACCUGGUAGACUUGGUAAAAGGGCCUCGACUUAUUUCCAGAAUUUGAGUUCGACCGUGGCUUCCCCCUUUUUUUGGGGGGGAUCAAGUUCUUUGCCAACUGCCACCUAUCGACCCCGAUCUCUUUUCAUUUGUUUUAGAUAUUACCAAACCUAGACUAGCCUUUGUAAAUCACACUAAAGCGGACACCCAACUAUGGAAAAGCCUCCAACAGGGUGGGUUAGGUUAGUCAAUCCGGCCCAAGACAUGUUCGUUGACAAAACCGCCGUAGGAAUUCCUACUUUUCAAUAGAGCAGAGGUGAACUGAUCAACGAGAAAGAGGCCCUACUCACUACAAAUGAAUACACCACAAGAUUGAACUGCACUCAUGCCUCUCCCGCAUCAAGUUGACCGCCCCCCUACAUAGUGAUUCUAUCAAUCAUGUACGUAGGUAGGACCCUCCAUUCUGAUUGGUAUAUCAUGAAAAAAGAAAGCCAUUUGCACCAGGCGCACUGCGCUUUUCCUUGCCCAGAUGUUCGCCUUUCUAAGUCAAGUAAUGGUGACCCACCAAAGACUGGAGCUUCGUAACAUAUUGACGAAGGCCCCCAAACUGAGGGUUCGGUCAGUAGAAGGGACGACUUUGUCUCCCCGGAAGAAGAAUAGCCUUGCUCUCUAGCCGACUGAUCCUGUUGAUUAUAUAACUGGGAGGGAACGUGUCACAUUAGAGGUGAACGAUCAGAGGUGUCCUCUAAUCACCACGACGAGGCUGGUCCCUCUUUUAAUAGACUCAGCUAUGAAUAUUCAUUCAGAAAUGAAUGCCGGGCUCUUUCUUUCAUGCUAACCCCAUUUUCAACAUGCUGAAACUUUCUGUUUCGUCGAGCCCGAGCUUGUGGUCCUCCUUUGAGUGUGGGUUCAAUUGAAUGAAUCUGUCAAGUCAAGCAAAACAUACGUAGCAGCAAGGAUGGUGCAUCGCCUAUUUAUCAUUCUCGCUCGGGAGCCAAAACGAACACGCCUGCUACCUACUAUACUGGACCUUUGACCAGGCAUUCUACCUUUGUCGAAUUGAAACCAACACCACUGCAUUGCGCUCGAACAGUUGAGCGGCCACCGACCAGCAACUUUCGUGCGCAGAUAUAGAUUCAUUCUUCGUACCUGGUCCAGCCUCACAACCCUUCGCGGGUUGGUAAGAAGUCAGUCUUGUUUGGUAAGACGGAAUUGGACAAAUAAAAGAGAGUGCUCGACCAGAACAACGGCCAACAAAGACCGUAAUUACAUAGAUAACUGCUCCUCCCCUUCUCCUUAAGGCUUUAAGGCAAACCGUAUGACGGUUGGAAAGAAAGACGACCUCACCUUCUCUGGUGUCAGUGAGAGCAAUUUGAGUAUCCCCCGUUGACCUUCUUUUGUAGAUAGAAUCUUCAAUGAGUGGAAAGAAGCAACCUUAAUAAGAAGGGUGCUUGUUGAGUAAGGCUGGCUUUCGAGCCCAAGCCCCUUGUAUAGGUUUGGGCGCUUGAGCGCAUCUUUCUCAUAUCGAUCAAGGCUUUCCUUAAGUUUGAAAUAAGGGACAAGAAGUAAGGACGUAGCAGCUGCGCGAAAGCCCUUGCGCCUUAGCGCAUCCCUUUUCUUGCAGGAGUGCUAACGCGCGACUUUACGUUUUCUUUCGCUUGCUCUGCAGUACGAGCCUCAUACAAAGCCGCGCUCCUUUAAUAUGAUGAGAAGAAGGGGGGCCGGACUCUUUUUCGUACCAAUCCUUAUUUACUACUACAUCUUUUUUUGGGUGUAUAGCUCAGUUGGUAGAGCAUUGGGCUUUUAACCUAAUGGUCGUAGGUUCAAGUCCUGCUAUACCCAAACCUACCUUACACUCUACUAUGAAUAAGGAUGCAUAGUAGCCAUCAAAGAUGACUCUUUGGCCUUUCGACUCGCUUCGACGACUUCACCCUUUAAGUGACAAAGGGGUGAGCCGCUCCAAGCGAAAAGCGAUUGUGAAUCCCAAACUUGCCCAUGCUCAUCCAAACCGGCCUCAAAAAGCGAUCGAAAAGCGAAGCCCUUCCUUCCAAUCCAAUAUUCUAAAGAUAAUAAGUGUGACCUGUGUGGUUUCUGAGCAGCAGAUUUCAAUUGUUCCCAACACUUAGAUUGAGUAGAAUGUAAGCGCAACCGAACUCUGAAUCCUGCCCCUCCCAGCCUUUGAAGCAUCGAUACAGAAAUCGAAUAUCUUGCUGACAAUUGGCAAAGACCCAUAGUCGUUCGACAAGCAGUUAAUGCCCUAAGAGAAAUUGGCGAUAAGUCUAUUUGCAUAUCCUUAGUCCAAAAUCUCUUAGCAAACUCGAUGGUUCCGUUCUCGGAUAUUAUCGAUUUCGCUACUGAGAUUGUUACCCCAAGUUUGUCCAGCAAACUACUAUACUGCUCGGCCACUCUCUGUUCUUAAGUAAGGGUUCUCAUCUCUAAAAAAAAGAAUAUGUUAAUCGUUACCGAUACCAGGCAGAGUUGCUUUUCCUUGCUCCAGAGGAGAUUGGUAUUGGUAGAGUCGCAUUUAACCCCGUCUUUUUGCCCUUUUACUGGUAAUCACAUCGGCCAUAAGGUGUUCUAUCACCUCGGUUGGGGAGAAAAGUUUUUUUUUUGUUAUUCUUCAUCAUAAGCUAAUUCCUUUGCCCUCUAGUAGCAACAUGCAACUCUUUCAAGAGUAAGUUUCUGGAAGAAAGAAGAUCGUGUGCGAGUCGGCUGGGAAAACACAUGAUUAACACGUCUUUCUUAACAUAUCUGAAUGUCUUUGUCGAGUUGGUUGGCAUCAUUCUCUCCUUUUUGUCUUUUCAUUGUCCGCCUCCGCCCGAACAGAUAUGCACUAACCCACCUGAAAUAAGGUAAAAUCCUUCUUUCCAACCUUUUGUACGAGACUCUUUUCUUCAUACAAAUGCUCGUAGGCGAAAGAGACCUUUCUUUGCUCCUGUCGGCGGGAUCAGCCAGAGUCCCCGUGUGUAAGGCCCUUUCCUGAAAGAGGUCGAAUAGUUCCUGUCCCAUUCAUACUACUAUUGGCUUCUGUGCUAUGUCUAGCGGCUGGUGAAUCCUACCCAGUAUCGGAAUUGGAUUUGAUAUUUCCUCGGUUUACGAGAAGGGUUUUAAUGGCGACCGGACUCCUCUUCUCUGGAAGUCUAAUGGUUUUGGGGACGUCGAUUCCCUGGAUUUUCUGGCUUUCCUUUCCCUUCAACCAGCCACUCUUUUAGUUCCUAAAAUAUAUAUAAUCUAGAAUUCUUUAAGCGCCUGAUCACAAAAGUGACCAAGUAAGCAGAUGAUGAUGGUUCAGCUGGUAAGCUAACAAGCAAUCGAAAUAAAGGAAGAGGAGACCCUUCUAUUAUAAGUUGAAAGCGAAGUCGAUAGUCCUCGUAUUGGUAAUUAUUAUACGCUAAAAAAUCUAUAUAAGAUAUAGAAGGCAAAAUAUGAGAAAAUGAAAUAAAUAAAGAAAAGUAAGAAGGCCCUCUCCUUACAGUGGCUGAAUGCUCCUCUAUAACUACCUUUCGCCCAACAUGAUCACGAACGAAGAUAGAGAAUUGCGUAGAUAGGAGGACGAAACGAACCAACCCACUUGUCCUGAUCGAAAAAAGAAAGAAAGAGAAUGGUGGCUCCUUUCCAACCAGUCAAGUGGCCCAAGGGCCACCUUUUGCCCAGGGGACAUCAUCGAAGAACAAUGUCGGGGACAGGGUGAGAACCUUCCAUUGGUUACGCCCUUUAAGUUUUGGCUCUUCCAUAUUUAGAUAUGGAGAUAGAUCCAUAUAGAUAUCUAUAUAUUUCUAUCGAUAAAUAGAUCUAUUGAGAAAUGGAUAUUGAUCUGGUUUCAAGAUCUAUGAACAAGAGAGAUCCCUAAAUAUCCAUUUGAGAAAAUAGAUGAAUAGAUAGGGCGAAGCCAGCUGAAGGAAGGUCGCGUUAGCGCCCCCUAUUUCACUAAAGCAAGAAGGGAGAAAGUUGACUUUGAGAAAGAAGGGCUUCUAUUUAGAUUAGUUUCUUAGUAAAAGAUAAGGCAAGAAGCAAGGGCGUAGCAGCUGCGCGAAAGCCGUUGCGCCUUAGCGCACCCCUUUUCUUGCUCGUUAGCGCCCCCCUACCCCUAUUAUUUAUAUUAUAGUCAUAAAGGAACUAAAGGAAAUUUGACAACCUUACUAAUAGAAAGGGGAUGCGCUCAAGCAUGCGAAGAAAGUUCGAAGAGCUUCUCUUAUAUUAUAGAAAGGUUUGUAGAAAGGGGAUUCUUCAAAUAUCCCAUGUUGUAGGGGCUUCAAAGAAAGCUUGUAGUUUAGGGGUGCGCAGGUUUGGAACCGUAUACAAGGGGCUAGCGCGCAAUGGCUUUCUCUGAUAGAGGCUCGCUUCUUCAAGUUCAAGUUUCGCUUGCUGCUUUUCAUUUUGGUAGGAGUAGGUGCUUGCAGCUCGCUCGCUGUCUACUAAAUGAGCCUUCACUGCCCGCCCGUCCCCUAUCUUUAAUCUUAAGUGAAGUGAAGUCAAAUCAAUGAAGUGAACGGCCCAACCUCUUUGUUUGAAUCUUUGUUUCCCCUAAUUCCGAAACACAACAAUAGACAUGCCACUAUAGUGAUGGAAAAAGCUUCUCUUUGAUAAGCGGUUAUAGGGGAGUUCAGAAAGGAUCUUAUCGUAGAUAGAGACUUCAACUUGUGCGGGGGUAGGGGCGGAUGUAGCCAAGUGGAUCAAGGCAGUGGAUUGUGAAUCCACCACGCGCGGGUUCAAUCCCCGUCGUUCGCCCAUCAAUAAAUGGACCGUUUGUUUCGGAGACACAAGACAAACCUAGAAAGCAUUUUUUCUGCAAGUCAUCUCGAGGCUUUCAAACGCAUCCAAGCAAUUGGUAUCCGAUUGAAAGAUAGAAAGCAUAGAUUCGCGUCGCCUACUUGCUGAAAGCAAAAAUGGAAUGGCCGAUCAUGAAUUCUAUGACGUUUUUAAGACCUCACUAAUCAGCCAACCACUUUUUAGUUCAUAAUGAAUGAACCCCCGGAUGAAGAAAAAAUAUCCCCUCCCUUUUACUAAACCAUGGGGAGCCCCGAGUAGUUUACCGGACAAAUUGAGUUGUCGUGACGAUACCUUUCAACAUCGGAAAUUCUCUUCAUCACGAGACUGAUCGGAUCUGCCGUAGACACCCGAGAGAUCUUCACAAGGCAGGCUAAAAUAAAAGACUAAGAGGCGCUGCAAGCGAGCAAAGAGUUAUGCUUUCAUUUCUUUGUUGAGAUUGAAAUCUUGGGAAAGGGUUAGGUAUAAUGCACGCAGGCUAAGUCAAGAAAAGGACUUCCUUACCUUUCAUUCAUAGUAGUCUUAAUGACUAGUAGUUUGAAGCCUUAAGAAAGCGGUUUUUUUUCGGCACUCGCUUCCUUCGUCUUAAGUAAAGUUCAGUUGACUUUUUCGAUUCGGAACUCUUAGUCGAGCUGAUGGCGAGAUCGAUUUUUUGUUCGAGGUUCAAGAGGAAGGAGAGGAACCACCGCCCAAUGGUGCUUUUACGAAAGUAUGGUCACCGGUGGCUAAUACCUUCUCGAGACUAUCGAACCUGAAAUCCACUUUCCAUCGCUCUUUUUAGGUUGGCAUAAUAUAGAAAGAGAGUGCCAAGAAAGAACACAUACCUAUCACUUUUGGAAGGUUUGGAACCCUUACUCAACAUAGGGUCCAAAAACCCGACAUACCCUUUUUUUAGAGCGUAUAAGGGGAAAAGAGCUCUUGCAUCGUUAGCCGCUUUUCAGCAUUUCCUGCCUGAGUUGUUGACCAUCACCUGACCUCACACGGGAGGCCCCGCGCCGAGUGAUUCUCCCCCAAAAAAGUCUACAUGUGAUGUUCCGAAAACAGAAACAUGUGAUUUAGUAAAUUAGAACCCAUUGUGGGGCAGGGAACAACUAUCAACUAGUUUGAAAAGUUCUUCCAUUCAGUAAUGGAAGUCAUCCGUUGUCACUUUCGUUGGGUAUGGUAGAGAGGCUUGAGAAGGUGGACAAUCCUUCAGUGAACGCCUAACAAGAUGCUGAAUUCAAACACACCCAAAAUCUACAAGAAUCGUACAAAUAUCUAUGGAGCGUAGCAAGGAACCUUGGCUUCAGCUCUCGUCUCCUCACUCAAUCCUACAGCGAAAACUUGAGUUGAGGCGCUGCAAGCGAGCAAAGAAGCACUUCUUGUAACCAAAACAAAAACCCC
rnacentral:lncRNA from 1 species